rnacentral:rRNA from 1 species
AGCGAACGCUGGCGGCAGGCCUAACACAUGCAAGUCGAACGAACCUUUCGGGGUUAGUGGCGGACGGGUGAGUAACACGUGGGAACGUGCCUUUAGGUUCGGAAUAACUCAGGGAAACUUGUGCUAAUACCGAAUGUGCCCUUCGGGGGAAAGAUUUAUCGCCUUUAGAGCGGCCCGCGUCUGAUUAGCUAGUUGGUUGAGGUAAUGGCUCACCAAGGCGACGAUCAGUAGCUGGUCUGAGAGGAUGAUCAGCCACUUUGGGACUGAGACACGGCCCAAACCCCUACGGGAGGCAGCAGUGGGGAAUCUUGCGCAAUGGGCGAAAGCCUGACGCAGCCAUGCCGCGUGAAUGAUGAAGGUCUUAGGAUUGUAAAAUUCUUUCACCGGGGACGAUAAUGACGGUACCCGGAGAAGAAGCCCCGGCUAACUUCGUG